UAUGUUGAAGACUUGCUUCUUGUGUCUGAACAAUUACAGACAAAUCUGAAAAAAUGUCACACGUGUUUGUGCUUUAGGAAGUUAUCAUAUGAGUCUAAACUGUUAGCAUGAUGUUAACUCUAAACUGCUAGAUGAUAGUUUGUUAAAAUGGUAGGAGUGGGUUCAUUUGAGCUGAAAGUCCUGGGGGUUGCGGGGAGCUGGAGCCUAACCCAGCAUCUUGAGCCACAGGUGGGGAAACUCCCUGGAUGGAUGGUCAAAGGUCUGUCUCUUGGCCUAGAGAGGGACAGCUGUGUGGUGCUUAUAGAUCUCUGGUCACUUUCUCCCCAUAUGGAUCAGCUCAGAUACAGCUGCUCUGAGGGACCAUGUGUCUGGUGUUGGAUGA